rnacentral:rRNA from 1 species
GAUGAACGCUGGCGGCGUGCCUAAUACAUGCAAGUCGAGCGAACAGACGAGGAGCUUGCUCCUCUGACGUUAGCGGCGGACGGGUGAGUAACACGUGGAUAACCUACCUAUAAGACUGGGAUAACUUCGGGAAACCGGAGCUAAUACCGGAUAAUAUUUUGAACCGCAUGGUUCAAAAGUGAAAGACGGUCUUGCUGUCACUUAUAGAUGGAUCCGCGCUGCAUUAGCUAGUUGGUAAGGUAACGGCUUACCAAGGCAACGAUGCGUAGCCGACCUGAGAGGUUGUCCGCCCCCCCUGAACUUGGGCACGGUUCCGGCCCCUUCCGGGAGGCACCAGUGGGGAUUCUUCCGCAAUGGGCGAAAGCCUGACGAGCCAACCCCGCGGGGGUAAUGAAGUCCUUCGGUCCGUAAAACUCUUUUUUUGGGGAAGAACAUAUUGGUAGGUACCAGUCCCGUUCUGGCCGUUACCAAACCAGAAGGCCCCGCCAACUUCCUG